UUCUGGGGGGGUGUGCGUGGGACACGAGAGUGAGGGAGAGGCAGGCAUCGAAGGGCAAGUUCGAAGCAGCCAGCGUUUGAAGGAAGAGAGGAUGGCUCAGCUUCCGUAGCUUUUUAUGCACAACAACAAGACGACAAUGACAGUUUGGAUAUUCAUUCCCCUGCUGCUGACCCUUCCGCUUCCACAUCAACACCAGCAUCAACCGCUACAACAGCAGCACUCUGUGGCCAAACCCAAUGCGAGAAACAAGGACAAUGAGGAGGGAGGACAACAUGAAUGUUGAGCUCUCCAAGUUAUCCUCCACUGCGACCCUGCUAAAAUGACCAAGAUGCAUUCACAGAGGAACAGAUGAGUAGAUAAGAAUCCUAAAGGAGAGCUGGAUUUCAAAAUUCUAACAUGAAAAGGUUGCUAGAAAGCAUCACUGGAACCCAGAAGAUUCCUGUGCCAAUGACAAUCAUGGUGUCAGGAAUGGCAAAAAGGUUUGUUGGUGAACUUGUCGAAACAGGUAUGCCUACUGUCCACUUGAAUUAUGCUGAGAACUCAUUUCAGGAACGACGAUUGUUCGCCUUUUGGUUAUUCAUACAAAGGAAAGAAUAAAUGAGCAUUGGAAGACAGAUGAGAUUGCAUGAAACCUGAGUAACAAAGAUAAAAUAUAGUGCAGGGCAAAGUUCAUCUGUCUUCUCAAAUAGUAAAUUUCUAUUGCAAAUAUUUCUAAUAGAACUUGAACUCCUCAAAAACUAACUAAUAGAAAGACCACAGACACGAAAAAAAACAUUUUCCUGACUUACUAUCCAAAUACGUGAUGUUUUGAGUUGUAAGUUGAUGAUGUCAAGAAAGAAUUAAACAGUAAAUAGUUUAAUUGCCGCCAUGGUAUUUGUGGUAGAACCUUCUCCACUGUGCCUGACAGGAGGAUAAUUAUUCAAUAGUUCAGGAGCAAUAAUCCAGAAGAUGGGAAUUCGGACCCUUGGCCAUUUCUGAAACAGGAGAAAGCCAAGCAGUUAUGUUCCAUAUAUGAUAGGGUGUACAGUUGUUUCUCUUUUUGUUUUAGGCUCUUCAGACUUAAUAUAUUACAGUUUCAUUUCGACUCUGAAGCUCGGCUCUUUUCGGCUCUUUUAUCUUCUCCUUUUUGGUUUGAAUGGUGACAUUCUUAAAUAUUUGGCAGCACAUUGCUUUCAUGAGUGUUUAAUCUUUAUCCUGCUCAGAUGAUAUAUCCUUAAGCCUUCCAGAUGUUAAUUCAAUUUGGCUGCAGAAUUGGGAUGCAGUACAUUAGUUGUAGAGAAAUACUUUAGACACAGAGAUCUCACAAAGUAAACCCAUAAACUGACGUGGCUAUAGCACUUCUCUUAGUCGUAUAUGUCAGAGGCCUGAACCUACAUUUAAUCAGCAUUCCGGGGGGUAUCUCCCCUCCCAAAAUGAAGAUCAUACACAGGUAAUAUCAAGAGCUUGCAUUUACUUCUGCUUUAAUGUUGUGUAGAAACCCGUGGGUACAAAGGCUAAACUUCACUUUUGUGAUACAAAAAGCUACACAUGAGCAUAGUUUUUCAUUUUCUCCCCUUGUUUUUUGGGCUUGAAGCUGCAAUGCCUGACUGGUUUUUACUGUUUUGCCCACGGAUGCAAUAAAACCAGCUUAUGUCAUCGUGGCAUGUUUUUUUUUUUUUUUUUGUUAUCUUUUAUUUUUCGUUUUUCCUCAGCAGGAUGGAUGUAAUGGGGCGUUGCAUUGGUACUUGAAAUGUAACUUCAUUCCAUGUUCCCUAGUCCCUACUUCCAUCGCUUGUAUAGUUCCCGUAUGGAUCUUUGUCGUGUGUGCAAGUUGAUGGCCUAAAAGUUGAAUUUAUUUAGUUGAGAACUAUUGUUCUUUCUAUUCAGGUACAUUUGCUAUCUCAGCUGUUUACUCAUUCACCUUUGGAAUGUAAAACGCCCGAAUUAGUCUUGAAGAAGAUCAAUGGAGGAGCAUAUACACUCUCGAGACUAGGGUCGGUGAAAUGGAAAGUUUAUAAGUAAAAAUAUGAGGUUUGAGGAACUUGUGCUGAACUAAUUCCUGGUAGCUUUUAUGCAAUGGAAAGAGAAAAACCUUUACGCAGUGGAGAGAAGAAUUCCGAUAGCUGUAGACCUGUAUCUGUUAUGCAUGGGAAAUAAGAGAGAGUCUUUACUGAGUGGAGAGAAUAAUUCCAUUAUGGUGUGUUUGGAGGAGGAUUUGGAUUUUGUUCUUUAAAA